GGUUCCAUGGUGUAAUGGUUUUAAGCACUAAAGACUCUGAAUCUUGCGACCCGAGUUCAAAUCUCGGUGGAAACU